CCUACGGGAGGCAGCAGUGGGGAAUUUUGGACAAUGGGCGCAAGCCUGAUCCAGCCAUGCCGCGUGAGUGAAGAAGGCCUUCGGGUUGUAAAGCCCUUUCGGCCGGGAAGAAAUCGCAUUCUCUAAUAUAGGAUGUGGAUGACGGUACCGGACUAAGAAGCACCGGCUAACUACGUGCCAGCAGCCGCGGUAAU
rnacentral:rRNA from 1 species